AGAAAUCUUUGUUUAGCUCCCGGCUCUGGAAAAAGAGCAGAGACCGGGGCACUGAAGGUCUGAGGGAAAAAGGAGGCGAAGACAGAGAUAGAUUUAUCAUUGGAAGAGUUCCAGGAGCUAACCUUUCGACCCAUGGGGGAGAAGAGGAGGUGGAGGAGAAGUUGCAAGAGAAAAAAGAA